rnacentral:rRNA from 1 species
CCUACGGGAGGCAGCAGUGGGGAAUCUUGCGCAAUGGGCGAAAGCCUGACGCAGCCAUGCCGCGUGAAUGAUGAAGGUCUUAGGAUUGUAAAAUUCUUUCACCGGGGACGAUAAUGACGGUACCCGGAGAAGAAGCCCCGGCUAACUUCGUGCCAGCAGCCGCGGUAAUACGAAGGGGGCUAGCGUUGCUCGGAAUUACUGGGCGUAAAGGGAGCGUAGGCGGAUAGUUUAGUCAGAGGUGAAAGCCCAGGGCUCAACCUUGGAAUUGCCUUUGAUACUGGCUAUCUUGAGUACGGAAGAGGUAUGUGGAACUCCGAGUGUAGAGGUGAAAUUCGUAGAUAUUCGGAAGAACACCAGUGGCGAAGGCGACAUACUGGUCCGUUACUGACGCUGAGGCUCGAAAGCGUGGGGAGCAAACAGGAUUAGAUACCCUGGUAGUCCACGCUGUAAACGAUGAGUGCUAGUUGUCGGCAUGCAUGCAUGUCGGUGACGCAGCUAACGCAUUAAGCACUCCGCCUGGGGAGUACGGUCGCAAGAAUUAAAACUCAAAUUGAAUUGACGG